AUAGUUCACUACAAUAAUCACAGAAUGGGUUGGUUUGGAAGGGACCUUAAAGAUCACCCAGUUGCAAACCCCUGCCAUGGGCAGGGACACCUCCCACUAGACCAGGUUGCCCAGGACCCCAUCCAACAUGACCUUGAACACCUCCAGAGAGUGUUAAUACGUUAGAGUCCGCAUUUGAUAACCUGCAGUAAAAAAUACUUCUCUAGCAAGCGGUAUAUAAAGAAGUAGGAGUAGCGUUCUUUGAUUUAUGUGGGUUAUAUAGCACAUCUUUAGUAGUGUCUCUGAGUGUCUCGCAGCAAGCGUAAAAAAGUGUCCUACUUUUCGGCUACUAAACCCUGGAAACCCUUGCACACACACAUAGGUUUGUUUGACUUCGCUGUGAUUAUUUGCAUUUGUCAAGCUAAAUGUUUUCCUAAAUAUUUGCAGUGUCAACUCUGUAGCUGCUGAAAUGUCUCUCGGCUUGUGUGGGUAGAGGUGAGGCAGCAGGGGCCACAGCUGGUUAGCAGAGCGAGGAUUUGAGGGAAAAGAAGUAUUCUGGACCUAGGACCAGCAGAUGGAAACGGGACCUCUAGCUGUCCAAUAGGUGGGAAACCAGCCUGGGAUGAAGGAAGGACUGGGAACUGUUCUCGGGUCUGCUAAGAGCUUAUGUGGUUGACCCUUACAAAUUGUUUUGCCCUGAGCCGUGGGCUAUGGUCCCGUGUUCCUCUACACCACUUUUGUGCCGUACCGAAUCACCUGGUAGCACGUUCAGAUAAGCCAGAUCACACGACAUCACGCUCCUGCUGGCUGCGUGCCACCUGCAGAAGGACAGACGCUACCUGCUGGAGCAUCACCCGGUGCAAAAUUAGAAUUGGCAGAGUGGGUUGCACUUCAUCAGUGCGUCAUGCGGCUGUGGUGUUUUUGAUCUUGUGCUAGACAUACUGAAACUGAAUUUACUAUCUGGUUCAACCACGAUCUCUGUUUCCACAUCUGUGAAAUGUGAACAGUAUCCCAUAUCUGUCUGUAAAGAGAUCUAUUUUUUUUCUGUCAGAAGAUUUCAAAGCAAUUUGAAUUCAGCUUCGUUAUGAUUUUAUUUGAAUGCUCGGGAUGGUAAUUGGCAGUCCGAACUGUUUCUGGAAUUCCAGAAGGUCACAGCAGAGAGCAACCGAAAGGCGCUGUGGUUUGGAUCCCUGCUUUUCUAGGCAAUGGCUGCAUUUCAGAGUCAACAUGAGUUAAUUCUGCCUGGCUUAGCUUAGCCUAGAGCAGAGAGAGAAAAAUAUGAAAUGUAGGCGUUGAGGUAGACAGCCAGUACAAAGUAAAAGGCCAUCUUCAUCUCAAAUCAUGGAUUUUUUUUUGUUGUUGUUGAUGAUGAAACUUAUUACUGGAAACACUGGAGCUGGAGCUUCACUAGACCAGUCGUGAAAAUAGCCUUUCCAAUUAACCAUCUCAUCUAGAAAGCUCCUGCUGACAGUCCAAGGAUUUAAAUGCUGGGGCCAGGGUUGGGGGGAGUGCUAAAGGCUGAAUGAUUCUCAGCAGCGGGGGUUUUCACUUGAAAUUAAUUUCUCCUGUUAAUUGAACACACCCAGUUUGAUCAGUGUCUUUGGGGAGAUCAUUCUGGAAUGCCUUCCGUAAAAUGUCUCUCUCCAAAUGUUCGGCAUUGUUUUAAUUAGUGUAAUUGUUUCCAGAGAUUAUAUGUGUAUGUUUAGUAUUUUCAUAUUCCUCCCCUGAAAGUUUAAAUGUUAGGCCACUCAUUUAAACACAUGCAUUCUUUCUUCUUGCGUGUUUUUGCUGACCUUAUCAAUAAAAGCAUUAAGCUCCCCAGAUUUUCCCUCUGCAUAAUUCCGAGCAGCUUUAUAAUAAAUCACAGAUAAAACGUUGCUUACAGC